UACGGAGGGUGCAAGCGUUAUCCGGAUUCACUGGGUUUAAAGGGUGCGUAGGUGGGUCUGUAAGUUAGAGGUGAAAGCCCGGAGCUCAACUCCGGAACUGCCUUUAAGACUGCAUCGCUAGAAUCCGGGAGAGGUGAGUGGAAUUCCGAGUGUAGAGGUGAAAUUCGUAGAUAUUCGGAAGAACACCAGUGGCGAAGGCGGCUCACUGGACCGGCAUUGACGCUGAGGUACGAAAGCGUGGGGAGCAAACAGG
rnacentral:rRNA from 1 species